rnacentral:sRNA from 1 species
GUCAGGCAUGGUGGCGCAUGCCUAUAAUCCCAGUGACCUGGGAGGCUGAGACAGGCUUGUAAGUACAAGGCCACCCUUAGCAAUUUAGUGGGGUCCUGUCUCGA